rnacentral:ncRNA from 2 species
UUAAAAUCAAAAACAUUCGGUUCUAGUGGGGAGCAGCCACUAGAGGUAACGGGGAAAGUCCGGUGUAAGUCCGGCGCUGUCCCGCAACUGUGAACUUAACAAAGUAAGUCAGGAUGCCCGCCGAAGUUGAUUUUAGUUC